rnacentral:rRNA from 1 species
GAUGAACGCUGGCGGCGUGCUUAACACAUGCAAGUCGAACGGAGCACCCCUGACGGAGUUUUCGGACAACUGAAGGGAAUGCUUAGUGGCGGACGGGUGAGUAACGCGUGAGUAACCUGCCUUGGAGUGGGGAAUAACAGCUGGAAACAGCUGCUAAUACCGCAUGAUGCAGUUGGGUCGCAUGGCUCUGACUGCCAAAGAUUUAUCGCUCUGAGAUGGACUCGCGUCUGAUUAGCUGGUUGGCGGGGUAACGGCCCACCAAGGCGACGAUCAGUAGCCGGACUGAGAGGUUGGCCGGCCACAUUGGGACUGAGACACGGCCCAGACUCCUACGGGAGGCAGCAGUGGGGAAUAUUGGGCAAUGGGCGCAAGCCUGACCCAGCAACGCCGCGUGAAGGAAGAAGGCUUUCGGGUUGUAAACUUCUUUUCUCAGGGACGAAGAAAGUGACGGUACCUGAGGAAUAAGCCACGGCUAACUACGUGCCAGCAGCCGCGGUAAUACGUAGGUGGCAAGCGUUAUC